rnacentral:lncRNA from 1 species
UCGAGCUUUCAUUUAACAACUUCGAAAUGUAGAAAAUAUAGAGGAGGGCCUCGUUAUAACAAAUCAAUAAGUUCUAAAGGUAAUAUAAUUAUAAAUAUUUUUUGUACUUUAAAAUGCCAUUAAACAUAAUUAAUUCAUGAUAUUGUACAUGCUUUACAUCAUAUUGUAGAAUAACAUUUUCUAUAAUUACAAGAUGAAGCAAGCCGGUGC